GACGAACGCUGGCGGCGUGCUUAACACAUGCAAGUCGAACGGAAAGGCCCUGCUUUUGUGGGGUGCUCGAGUGGCGAACGGGUGAGUAACACGCGAGUAACCUGCCCUUGACUUUGGGAUAACUUCAGGAAACUGGGGCUAAUACCGGAUAGGAGCUCCUGCUGCAUGGUGGGGGUUGGAAAGUUUCGGCGGUUGGGGAUGGACUCGCGGCUUAUCAGCUUGUUGGUGGGGUAGUGGCUUGCCAAGGCUUUGACGGGUAGCCGGCCUGAGAGGGUGACAGGCCACAUUGGGACUGAGAUACGGCCCAGACUGCUACGGGAGGCAGUAGUCGGGAAUAUUGCACAAUGGGCGGAAGCCUGAUGCAGCAACGCCGCGUGCGGGAUGACGGCCUUCGGGUUGUAAACCGCUUUCGCCUGUGACGAAGCGUGAGUGACGGUAAUGGGUAAAGAAGCACCGGCUAACUACGUG
rnacentral:rRNA from 1 species